rnacentral:sRNA from 1 species
AUGCUGAAGCGGAGGCGGCCGCUGCUUGAGGAUCAAACAGAGCAUACUGAAUCAGCAGGACUGGCUGGUGGUGCAGCAGACAUCAUGAGUAAGCACCGAGAAGUCUGUUCCUUAUCACGUGUGUAAGGGGAAAAAGGUUUAAACAAGUCUCUUAAGUGGUGUUUCCUCACCGAUGGAGAAUUACUUCCAAGCAGAAGCUUACAACCUGGACAAGGUGUUAGAUGAAUUUGAACAAAACGAAGAUGAAACAGUUUCUUCUACUUUAUUGGAUACAAAGUGGAAUAAGAUUCUAGAUCCCCCUUCUCACCGGCUGUCAUUUAACCCUACUUUGGCCAGUGUGAAUGAAUCUGCAGUUUCUAAUGAGUCACAACCACAACUGAAAGUCUUCUCCCUGGCUCAUUCAGCUCCCCUGACCACAGAGGAAGAGGAUCACUGUGCUAAUGGACAGGACUGUAAUCUAAAUCCAGAGAUUGCCACAAUGUGGAUUGAUGAAAAUGCUGUUGCAGAAGACCAGUUAAUUAAGAGAAACUAUAGUCGGGAUGAUCAAUGCAGUGCUGUUGAAGUGGGAGAGAAGAAAUGUGGAAACCUGGCUUGUCUGCCAGAUGAGAAGAAUGUUCUUGUUGUAGCCGUCAUGCAUAACUGUGAUAAAAGGACAUUACAAAACGAUUUACAGGAUUGUAAUAAUUAUAAUAGUCAAUCCCUUAUGGAUGCUUUUAGCUGUUCACUGGAUAAUGAAAACAGACAAACUGAUCAAUUUAGUUUCAGUAUAAAUGAGUCCACUGAAAAAGAUAUGAACUCAGAGAAACAAAUGGAUCCAUUGAAUAGACCGAAAACAGAGGGGAGAUCUGUUAACCAUCUGUGUCCUACUUCAUCUGAUAGUCUAGCCAGUGUCUGUUCCCCUUCACAAUUAAAGGAUGACGGAAGUAUAGGUAGAGACCCCUCCAUGUCUGCGAUUACAAGUUUAACGGUUGAUUCAGUAAUUUCAUCCCAGGGAACAGAUGGAGGUCCUGCUGUUAAAAAGCAAGAGAACUAUAUACCAGAUGAGGACCUCACUGGCAAAAUCAGCUCUCCUAGGACAGAUCUCGGGAGUCCAAAUUCCUUUUCCCACAUGAGUGAGGGGAUUUUGACGAAAAAAGAGCCAGCAGAGGAGAGCACCACUGAAGAAUCCCUCCGGUCUGGUUUACCUUUGCUUCUCAAACCAGACGUGCCUAAUGGGUCUGGAAGGAAUAAUGACUGUGAACGGUGUUCAGAUUGCCUUGUGCCUAAUAAAGUUAGGGCUGAUGAAAAUGAAGGUUAUGAACAUGAAGAAACUCUUGGCACUACAGAAUUCCUUAAUAUGACAGAGCAUUUCUCUGAAUCUCAGGACAUGACUAAUUGGAAGUUGACUAAACUAAAUGAGAUGAAUGACAGCCAAGUAAACGAAGAAAAGGAAAAGUUUCUACAGAUUAGUCAGCCUGAGGACACUAAUGGUGAUAGUGGAGGACAGUGUGUUGGAUUAGCAGAUGCAGGUCUAGAUUUAAAAGGAACUUGCAUUAGUGAAAGUGAAGAAUGUGAGUUCGCCACUGUUAUAGACACACCAGCAGCAAAUUAUCUAUCUAAUGGUUGUGAUUCCUAUGGAAUGCAAGACCCAGGUGUUUCUUUUGUUCCAAAGACUUUACCCUCCAAAGAAGAUUCAGUAACAGAAGAAAAAGAAAUAGAGGAAAGCAAGUCAGAAUGCUACUCAAAUAUUUAUGAACAGAGAGGAAAUGAGGCCACAGAAGGGAGCGGACUACUUUUAAACAGCACUGGUGACCUAAUGAAGAAAAAUUAUUUACGUAACUUCUGUAGUCAAGUUCCAUCAGUGCUUGGGCAAUCUUCCCCCAAGGUAGUAGCAAGCCUGCCAUCUAUCAGUGUUCCUUUUGGUGGUGCAAGACCCAAGCAACCUUCUAAUCUUAAACUUCAAAUUCCAAAGCCAUUAUCAGACCAUUUACAAAAUGACUUUCCUGCAAACAGUGGAAAUAAUACUAAAAAUAAAAAUGAUAUUCUUGGGAAAGCAAAAUUAGGGGAAAACUCAGCAACCAAUGUAUGCAGUCCAUCUUUGGGAAACAUCUCUAAUGUCGAUACAAAUGGGGAACAUUUAGAAAGUUAUGAGGCUGAGAUCUCCACUAGACCAUGCCUUGCAUUAGCUCCAGAUAGCCCAGAUAAUGAUCUCAGAGCUGGUCAGUUUGGAAUUUCUGCCAGAAAGCCAUUCACCACUCUGGGUGAGGUGGCUCCAGUAUGGGUACCGGAUUCUCAGGCUCCAAAUUGCAUGAAAUGUGAAGCCAGGUUUACAUUCACCAAAAGGAGGCAUCACUGCAGAGCAUGUGGGAAGGUUUUCUGUGCUUCCUGCUGUAGCCUGAAAUGUAAACUGUUAUACAUGGACAGAAAGGAAGCUAGAGUGUGUGUAAUCUGCCAUUCAGUGCUAAUGAAUGGUAAGUAUUAAAACAGGUUGAUUUCAUAGUUAUUGAGACGAAACAAGGGAAUUACGAUGAGAAGACUUUUUUCCCCCUGCCUUUCUUUACAAGUUGCUCACCUUCUCAAAUGUCAUAACUUUAACUGAAAAUAUUUAGCUAAAUUUCCAUGUUUUGAAAGUAUCUUAGCAUUUCA